AGUGUGAAGCCUGCUUAAGAUUCUCUCUCGCUCCCUCUGUCCCUUUCCCCUGCUUGCUUAUUCUCUCUCUCUCUGAAAUGAAAAAUGAAAAAUGAAAAAAAAAAAAAAAUGAUAUACAGAAGAGGAUACCAGAGGAUUUGAAGGAGAAUUCUAUAGAUGCUUGCUUGAGAAAUGAGAAAUGUACUAACUGGUUUUUUUCCUUGCCAGAAAUCAAACUGGAUUAGGUUUUUAGACUUAACUAUGUGAAAUAUGGAUAUGUACAUAUUCAUGUAGGAAUGGGGAGGUUGGAUUAGAUGAAAUCUAAAAAGUCUUCCAUGCUUUAGGUUUACUACAGUAUAAGCAUAUACAGGCAACCCUUGACUCACACUGGGUUGGAUAUGGGAGGAUUACAUUAAGUCUGAAGUUGAUGGUACAAUUUCAAAUCUAUGGAGGAGGUGGAAGAAGGGAAAUUGAUGAGGAAGCAAAGGGUAAAAACAGAGCAGUUGAGAAAAAACUGUAAAAAGGUAGGGAAAAAAUAAUCUUUGUCUUAAUGCCAUAGAAAAUUAGCUGAUGGAGAAUAGUUGAAAAUUACUAAUGUUGAAUAAAGUAAAUCAAAUUAGUAUUAGUAUGUGAGUAUGUGAUUAUGAAAAGAUGGACUAAAUUAGCUGUCUUUUCAAGACUAUUGGUAAUAGAAUCAAUUAGGGUUCAUUAUUAGCUAUAUUAACAGAAAAUUAGCCCUUGCUAGCUCCUAAAAAUAUGAGGUUCUUAUAAGAGAUGGUCGUCCCUUAUCAACAUAUAUAAAACUUGAACAUUUAUAAAGCAGCUCCCUUCUCAGAGCUAAACUAGAUUAGAUGAUCAAUUAAUGGUAAAAUGUUACUGUAUCUCUUUUUAAUAUUUCUUGUCAAAAACUUAAAUAUUCCUGAUUCAACUUGUGUUUCUAUUUGAGUAAUAUAAUUUGGUCAUAAUUGGUUUCAUUUCGAUUGUCUUUACAUUUUGGGUACUUAUUAUCUUUUCUCUCAUCCCCUGGGAAUGCCAAGUACCAAUUUUUGCUAUUUAGCAAGUCAGUAAGGAGCUUCCCACUGAGUGCCUUAAUUAUUGUUAAUUGAAUAUUGUAAAUGGUUUUCCAGGAUCACCAUCUUGUGACAUUUUUGUCAGUUAGCAAGACUUAAAGCACCAAGAAUCCCUUCUACCCCUUUCCAUACAAUCAUCAAAUCAGUAACUAUAAAAAAUACUCUCCUCUUGUCAAAUGUCAAGUCACAUACGUGCUUAAUAUGUAUUUAGAACAUGGUGGCUGCUCAAUGAAUAUGAAACAAUAGCUGCCCUUUUAUUUUAUUUUUAAUGUUUAUUUGUUUAACAAAGAGAAAGCAAGAGAGAGAGUGUGCAUGAGUGGGGGAGAGGCAGAGAGAGAGAAUCUCAAGCAGGCUCCAAGCUGUCAACACAGAUCCUGACACGGGGCUCAAUCCCACAAACCAUAAGCUGAAAUUAAGAGUCGGACAAAUAGCUCUCCUUUUUAAAUGGAAUGAUUCCCAGGUCCAGUCUUCGAGGGAACAUCCCUUUCACUUUCCUGAGCUCCCACAGUGCAUCUCAUCCAGCAUGGCAGGCCUGGUGCUCUAGGGUAGAGCUCAUCCUUGUUCAUGCACCAGGACCAAGCUUUCUAGUACUUUUUGCUGCUCUAUAAUCAAAAGGAGGAAAAAAUUGUAAAUAAAGAGCCUCAGAAAAUCUGAGAAUGUCAAAAAUGCUACAAGCAAAAAACUGGAGAGUGGAAAAAUCACUGAGUCAGCCUUCCUAUGUACUUCUUGCCUUACAAUGAACAAUAAAAAAGAAAUGAGAAAUUUAUGAUGUGCCUUUUGAACUUUCAAACUAUGUCUCCAAUUUUUUAAGGGGCUGGGGGAUAAGGCUUCAAUGUACUGAAAUUGUAUUGGAGGUUGGUUUUAACUAUGUAAAAUCUUGCCUUCUUUAUGAUUUGUUUUCUUGCUUGGUCAAUGAAAUCUCAACCAUCCUUAAGAAAUCAGGACCAGAAGAAGCCUUGAGACAUAAUCUAGAGUCCUUUCCCAUCAUGGUGGCCCAUAAAAUUACCAAAAAGAGAAUGAGAGAAUGAGAGUGUAUAUGUCUCUUUGGAGGGAUAGGCUUCCACAGAAUUGGCUUGGUUAGUAACCUAAUAGAAUGUAAAUGGCAUUUUCUGUCAGGACUUUUGCCUUGUACCUAGUCAGCUGUUAUUAAGUUUGGCAGGUUUCAGAUUUAGAGACAAAUUCAAGGCCCACCUUUGGUUAUUUUCCAAAGUCAAGUUUUAUGUACUAUGCAGUGAUAAUUUUGCUCCUGGCUUUUGAUUUUUCUUAGGACAAUAAGAACUUGCUUUCAUUUCUCAACUAUUUGAUCUUUAUUAUAUAUAGAUUUGUAAAUCACCUUAAAUAUUUUAUGAUAGAAAAUGAGUCAGAAUGGAUAAAUGCAUGAAUAAAAUAAUAAAAAUGUCCUCAAGCUCAAGUUUAAGAGAAAAUUUGCUAGCUCUGAAGAAAAGCUAAUUAUCAUUAUUUUGUAAUAGAGACAGCAAUCAGAGCCUGCUUACACCCCAGACACUUCUAGUGAGAAAUGCCCUGAACACAGCCUUUUACUUCCCACCAAUCAUUUGCUCCUAGGAAUUGGACCAGAGGCAGACACCUGACCUGAAGGUAACCACUGAAUUGGCUGGAAAUGGCCUCUAAUGUAACCUGGAACCAAUAGGUGAAAGGGACCAGUCAGAUUCUGUCUCCUGAGAAUUGAAGGUGCAGCAAGAAGGUGUUCAUUAGUAAGAGGGAGCUCAAUGGGAAGGACCUCUAUUAGGGAGGGUCCAGAGAGCCAUAAUGGCAUGUGCACACUGGCCGAGGAAGCAGAGACUACAAGGAAGCCAUGAACGUGGUCAGGGGAGAAAAGGGAACGAGUCGAGUGGGCCUCCCGGAUAGAUAUGGGACAACAGCAGGACCCAGAACUGCCAUUCUUUCUGGAAACUUCAGCAUCUGCUUCCAGUCCACAUGCAUUCUCCUGGUCAACCUCCCGUUUCUCCAAGGAAACCUAGCAGAACCUGUGUUGUUUGCAGUUCAGAGUCUCUGUUAUGUGUCAAAGCAUUUUCUUUUCCUGUUUUUACUCACUUGUAAAGUUUUUACUUGAUCACUUUGCGCUUUUCAUUUCCCCAAUAAUACUAAAAAUUUCUAUCUCAUAAAAAGAUAUUUGGGAGCAGAAGUUUGAAGGAAACCAACAGAAAGGGCUAUUAUUCCCAUUUCCUUGUCUCUAAAUACCAUAUUAAAAAUUCCUUGAUAUUUACGAAAGGAGAUUCGCUAACUUCCUCCAACGGCUUGCUUACUUUUCUUACAAAGAGUGGAACUCAUCUACUGUGAGGCCCCACUGUCUGAUAUUUGCAUAUACUGGGGUUUUCUCCACUUUUUCGAGUUGCUGUGGGUGGAAUAUCUGGCUUGACUUGAUUUCUGCCUGAGACAUGCACUGCGUCUCCACUCAGUGCUUCCUUCUUUAGGGCUCAGUUCCCUACACUAGAGGCCUGUUUAUCUGGGGGCUAUGGGAGGAGCAUAUCAGCCUGUUCCUACACAUGAGCCGAAACUUUUUAAACUGUAAACAUGACAACAAACAGCAAACAUACUGUGCUGUAGAGAGAUCCAGAACUUUUGGUCCUUCCAUGUCCUGCAAGGGAACACUGGUGAUUAGCUUGAUGGAAAUGUAGGUCCCAUGGGGGUUCUACCACAGUAGACACCUCUUAAGUCACCGUGUUCUCCUUGUCCUUCAUUUAUCAGUCACUUCAGGCUUUCAGAAAUAAGCAGACAUUUCAACCCCUAAUGCUUCUCGUUUUCAUUACUUCUGUAUUCUUUGGGCCCAGAAUACCUGCCACACAGAGUCCAAAAUUUUAAAUAAUUCACAAAUUUGUCAAUGUUUAGUUUCUUUUGGGGGUCAUCUUAGUGACAACAAUGACUAUAUAGCAAAUCAAGUCAGUUGUGCAAAAUCCAGUUUGCUCAUCAGCUGAAAACAUCAGGAGGACUUUUCAGUCUGAAUAUGUUCCAAGAAGUAUAAUUCUUCCUCACAGUCCGAUGCAUGUUAACUAAGAUUGAGUCCCAGCUAAUGGUGGCCGGAUUUGCCACUUUAUCUUUCAGGGCAGGGUCCUCUUGUUCUCAACCUUAUGAACUACUCACACCUUUUCUAUUGAGAAGCUUGUUUUGUAAACCUUUGGCCUACUUUCCAUGGGAGAACCCUAGCUGCUUAAUGGUACUUUUGCAUCAGCCCUCCCCCCCACCAAGACAUUCAUGCCACCGUGUGGUGCAUGAUGCUCUCAUUCUGCUCUGCUGGAAUGUCCUCCUUUUCCUGGCCAGCUGUUGAGGCCCAGCCUAAGUCUUCCCUUCUUUUCAAAUUCUCCUCUGAUUUUUCCAGUUCUUCUCAACUCUCACAGCCUUAGCCAUCCGUAUCAACUUAACUCAUUAUUAUAAACUGCAACGGAUUGUUGCCUGUAUUUGGCAGGUCAGACCCUCCACCAGAUCACAAGCUCAGAAACGGAACUGAACUAUGGCCUUCACUGUGAGUUUAUGCUCCACAUCUUUUGCACAUUAGUUCUGAUACACAAAAGAGAAAAGUUAUGGUUGAUAUACUGCAACUGCAUUUUCUUUGCAUGUGGAAAAGCGGUAGGAAGCACAGUCACUAUAAUCUCCUCUAUGGGAAAAACUAGAGGGGGCGUGAAUCACCUUCCAGAUUUGAAUCGUUCUGGAAAAGGACCCUUUAUUCCCCCAGGAAUUGCCCUUGCAGGAGGGCAGCCUGGAGAGAGAGGGCAGCUUUCCAGUUAUCCACAAACUUGCUUCCUUAAGUUGUUCUAAGGGAAUGCUCAGGUGCUCUGAUGUGCCCCGUAUUCAAGCGCAAGUAUGAAAACCUACUCUAAAAUGAAACCUAAGUGAUUUUUAAAACCAUUCUUCUGAGAGUGGACAGGGGAGCACCCACCACAGAGGUAGUGACAACCAGCCAUUGUCACUACCAUGGUGUCAUUGUUCUCUUCCUCCCCAACUCACAGGGCAUACCAGUCGCAACUGAAAAGUAGUCUCAAAAUAUUUGAGUUGAAAUGUUACUAGAAGACUUUCUUAAUUUUCAAUGUUUAUGUAUUUUGCAUGUCAAAGAUGCAAAUUUAUUUUUACCAUGCAGUCCAAUGGCUCCAUACUUUUUGAUGAUUAAGGUUAUGGUGGCAUUUGCUCACAGCCAGUAAGUUCAAGCUUGUAAGGCAAGCCCUCCAAAGCUAGACUAAUUUCCCCUAAGCCCCAGGACUGGAAAUUAGGUUACUGCCACUAGGGUUUUCACAUGACUCAACCCUUCUCCUAACUCUCUCUGCUGAGGCAAAGCAUUUAGCUCACAAUCCGGUCAAUGCCUUCAAAUGAGAUCAUAAUUGGGAACAGGCUUUGUAAGUGUCCCCUUCACUGUGGGAGCUUAGGUCUGACAGCAGCAACCAGAGAGAGAAUAGCACAGAGAGUUGCUGUCACUGAGCCAGCCCAUAGGACUCUAGGACAGAAGACCUUCCAAGGCCUCGGCUUCUCACUCUGUGGUAAAGGGAGGCAGUACUGCUCUUUAUUACAUGUAGCGGCCCUGGAGGAGCAAAAGACAUGGACAGGUCACCUACCCAGCUGCAGGAUAAGCAGAAGCAGAGUGGCGGAGGGAGGAGGGGGAGGGGGCAGGCGAGUAGCCUCAUCCAAGUGGGCAGCACAGCAAAUGCUGAAGUCCCAGAGACAUGCUGAGGGCAGGCAUCCGGGCAGACAGACUUCGGAAACACAAGGUCUGGGCUGGGCUUGCCAUUGCAGCUCUGCUCUGGAGAAAUCUCUUUUGCAGGCUUGAAGUACCACCGGCUCUGAGGCACAUCUGCCAUCGUUACGAGACCACAAUUCAGAAGCGACCGUCUCACACCAAACACGUGGAACAGAAAAAUAGGAUGAAUUUAAGAAGUGGUGGGGCACCUGGGUGGCUCAGUUGGUUAAGCGUCCAACUUCAGCUUAGGUCAUGAUCUCGCAGUUCAUGAGUUCGAGCCCUGCCUUGGGCCCCCUGCUGACAGCUCAGAGCCUGGAGCCUGCUUCAGGUUCUGUGCCUGCCUCUCUCUGUGCCCCUCCCCUGCUCAUGCUCUGUCUCCUCUCUCUCUCAAAAAUAAAUAAUAAACAUUUAAAAAAUUAAAAAAAAAAUGGAGUUGAAAGUCUUGGAGUCACAUUCCAUGCAGUGGAGUAUCGGAGUGGGCUCUCUAGAGCCAAUGCCUCUCUUCCCAACUCCACAUCCAGUGAUGUCAGGAUGAUGCCUUGAAAUUGGCUAUUGUUGGAACAUUCACACCACAGAAAUUGGCAAACAGUAGGGCCACCUGGGUGGCCCAGUCGGUUAAGCAUCUGACUUGGGCUCAGGUCAUGAUCUCAUGGUUUGAGACUGAGCCCCACAUCACUGUCAGCACAGAGUCUGCUUCAGAUCCUCUGGCUCCCUCUCUGUCAGCCCUUUCUCUGUUUGUGUGUGCUCUCUCAAAAAUAAAUAAAUGUUAAAAAAGAAAUUGGCAAACAAUAAAGCUCAGUGUGGUGGGUGUUUUUCUCCCUGCCAAAAGUCACCUUUGCAUAUAUGCCACAUGAGCCGUGUGAACCUUGGGUGAUACUUAUUUCACAGGGGGAUUAGUGCAAAUGAGAUACUUAAUUUGGAAGUCCUCUGUAACCUGUAAAGUUUCUACAUGUGUUAGUUUUUAUUAUUUGAAAUAAAAUGUUAAAUAUGAAGCUUUAACAUUUAUUAAAAUCUAAGUGUGUAAUUAUUACCUUUCAUUGCAAGCUUCAAAUAUGAUAUAGGACAAGAUUUCAGAAAGCAAAACAAUUAGGAAGCAGCCUUUUUGUGUUGGUUGAAGCUAUUAUGUGCAAGUUACAAAACUCCUAACUCCAACCAGCUUCAACAGUGAAGUGAGUUCACUGUCACCUAAACUAAAAGGCCAGAGAGAGUGCCAGCUUAAUUCAGCUAGCUUAAUCCAGAGGCCAGGCUAAACCCAGCAGGUCAGAUGAUGCCAUCGUAGAGCGGGAGGACCAUAUGUUCCUGUUUGCCCAGGAUAGUCCUGUUUACGCAUCCUAUCUGGUUUGGUGUAUGUCUUGCCCGGUUUCAUUCUCGAAGUUGUCCUAGUUUAGAAGAUAAAUGAUAUGUUUACUUAACCAAGGUUUGCUCUCUCUGCUCAGUUUUUUUGUGUUGCAGGAUUCACCCUCAGGUAUCACAAGACAUGUUUCCCCACCCGUUCCCUGCAGUUCCAGCCUCUUCCGUGCAGAGAGCAUAAGAUCUGUAGAAGCUGCAGACCCCGUAACCUCAUACCACCCAAUCUAGUGGGACAGAAAAUCUCUUCCAGUAGCCUGUGCAAGUGCUGGGAUUCACUGCCUCUCCCUGGUCUGAUUUGGGUCACAUGGCCAUUGCUGAAACAUCCCUUUGGGAACAUGGAUUCACCGAUGGACUUAGUCAACUGUGCUCACACCUAGAGUAGGCCUGAGAGAAUUCCAAACAAAUCACCCAACUGAGAAUGAGGUGACUUCUCCCAAGGAACAGCAAGUAACUGUCGGCAGCAGAAGAGGUAAGAAGCCUUCUGUGAGGUGCUGUGAAGCUGCUUCUGUGUGAGGCUGAUCUAGUAAUGGUGGCCAGAUACAACACAGUGGAGGAUGUGCCAGAGGCAUUCAUACAGGGGGUGAAGUGCAGUGAUUAACAGCACAGAUCUUGGAGCCAAGAAGGCCUGCGUUCAAAUCUCAGCUCUGCCAAUUACUAAGAGCAUAUGAGCUGGGGAGAGCAAGAGAAGCUUAAGCAGCCACCAUGUGGAGACUGAUGUGGGACUCGAUCCUACAAUCCUGGGAUCAGGACCUGAGUGGAAACCAAGAGUCAGAUGCUCAACCGACUGAGCCAACCAGGCAUCCCAGGAGAGUUCCUUUAAAAUCAGAAAGUUUCACUUAGCAAAAUACAUCGUCCAACCAUGGCGUCUGGGUGAGGAAAGUGAACGAGCAAGAGUGAGCUCCGGUUACCUGUGUGGAGGCAUUAAUUUCAGCGGCUACUGCCCAGAUUUUUAGAAGUUUGUCACUUAUUACUGGUCAAGUUUUCGGUGGGUAUGAGCAACUAUCAACUACGAAGACUAUGGAACAACAACAACAACAAAAAGUCACAUCAAAUGUUUACUUCUUGCUCUGGAAGUUCAGAAAUCUUGUCUUACUUGUGAAACAGAGAAAGACAAAAUAAAAUUGACAAUGUAUAUAGUAUGGUUCUUUGUAACCCAACUUUCCGGGGGGUCAGAAAGAGCCGUAUAAAAUAUCUGAAGCUUCAUGAAAGUGCCUGGAGGGAAGAGGUAAAGGUUCUCACUUAGAGUGGGUAGUUGAUGCUCAACAGUUUGAACUUGACUUGAGGAUAAACCAAGAGCCUGCAACUGGGACAAGGCAUGUUUAUCUUUAGUGCAGCGGUUUGGAGGUGGAGGCAUUCCUGCAACAAUUGCCUGGCACAUUCUAGGCACAAAAUAUUUGUUGGUGACCCAGAACCACUGCCUCCAAAUCGACCUUCUCUCAAUUCACAGAUACUAUCAAAGGAGGAAAACCCUAGAACCCCAAGAGAAACCCAUUACUCUCCUCUUAAUCCCCAAGAGAUCAGUGUUUGCUAUUUCCAUGGCAACCAGAAGACGCAAAAUGGCCAAAACCUGAGAGCUACUUCAGAUGAAAGCCAGAAAAAAGAAAAUUGACAAGAGACAUGUUACAGACAGCAUGGAUGACAGUGUGGCCAGGUUUCCGAAAUUUGGGGAGAUUUUCUUCUUUCCUUGGAAGAAUGCAAUGCUGUCCAGAAUGUAGCGGUGGAGCUUCUUGCUGUGCUGCUAAAUGUUGAGUACUUCGUUUUAUUCUUUUCUUGAAAGGAGUGGAGGGACCCAUGGGCCUUGGCAGCAAUUAAGUGAAGGUAAGCUGUUGGAAAUUGCUCUCCUGGCAAGCCUUGAUGUUAACCUCAAUGAGGAGGCCAGUCUGGCUACAGUGCCCUUGUUCCCUUUCUUCCAUGGAGUGAACAAAUAUUUAUUGAGCACCUUCUAUUUUCUAGGUAAUCUAUUCUACACACAACGAAAUGAAAACUUACAACUCUGAUAAGGGCUCCUAGGAGAAGUCCCUGUAACUACUAGAGUGUGUAGUAAGCAGAGCUGACCUGUUAGAGCGGCCAGGCCCUCCUAAGGAAGUAUGAUUAAGCUGAGUAGGAGGAAACUGGGCCGUGGUUGCAGGGCCUGGGGAGGGAGAACAUUCCAGGCAGUGGGAACUCUUGGGCAAAGGCCCUUUGGAGGAAGUGAGCCUCAAGUGUUCGAGGAACUGAAAGCAGGCCUGAGCAGCCUGUGUUGGCAGAACCCCAGAGUGUGAGGGGAAUGAACUUGGGGCAAGGCCAGUUGGAGAUGUGAGCAGGAGCCAGGUCAUUCUCAGUGCAGAGACUAGUCUUGCAGGGUGGGUUUGUUAGGGACUUUGGUGUCUAUCUCUCCUCAUUCCAGGGUGAACUCAAGCUGUAACAGGAAUGUAUGACAGGCCCUUCUUGUGUGUGAUCUGGGAAUGGCAGCUUCUGGUUUAUCUGAAAUCCGUCAGAAUAUUGCCAUACAUUCCAGAUGUGAACCACCAAGUUUCAAAGGAUUAUAAUUUUAUGAAAUACUUUAAACCUAAAUCACAUUCAAGAUAUUUUAUGUAUGAAGACUCAGGCACUUUGGAGCCAUCACCAUGAAUUUCACUUAUCAUCAUAUAUUAACCGCUCAGAAGCCAGAGUUUGACCAUCUAAUAACUUCCCCUGUAUCUGUGACCCACCUGGAAUCUGGGAAGUUUGCAAGAAGCCAAAAAAAUGUAACAAAUUUUAAAUACAUAUUUUUACCAGAGGGUAGGUCCUCAUUAAGAACUUAAUUGAUUAAUUUCAUUGUACACACAGUUCUAACGAGUGGGUUUUUUGGGUUCCAAGGGCACAGCAGAUAGGGAGCAAUAAUUUAGAAAGGGAGAAGGGAUGGGGUGGUAUAUGUAAAUAAUUAAAAGUAACAGGGAGCAGUACAAAUGUCGAGGAGACCAAAAAAGAACCCCCCCCCCCAAACAAAACAAAACUCCUGAGACAAAAAACCCAUAAGAAUUGAAAACUACAUUAAAAAAAAAAAAGUAAGGAAGAAAGAGAAAGACCAAAAGCAAACUGGGGCUUUAAUUACAGACAAAUCUUCUUGCAUGCCUUAAGAUCUUGAGGGCAUUGUUGUGUUUAUAAUAAGACUUAAUGCUUAAGAAGUCAGUCAUAUUUUAGAAGGAUUUCUGGGCCACAGAGUCAAGCUCUUAAAAAGGGUGUUGGUACUUAAGAAGUAGAUCUUCAGUCAUUGGGGAAAUUGUUGAGGAUGGUUCUUACCAAGGUUCUGUGUAACCACGGGUUUACUGUAGUAUGGUUCUGUGGAUGUGUUAAUACAGAUUUUGGGCUGAGAAAAUAUGUGACAUACCAGCUCUUGCUGAAACUGCUUCAUUUUCACAAGCCUUCGAAAUCUGGGUUUCAAGAAAAUCAUUGGAAGUGACGCUUUUCAUAUGUGAAUUGUCAUGGUGCUAUUCUUGACAGUGAAUGAGUUCUUGAAUAUUUAAAAAUAUUGUAGGUGAUACAAUGUGCUCCAUAAAUACAUCUUAAAGUUUGGCUUUCACAUUUUUAACUUUAAUUUUCAUGCUACCUCUUAAAUGCAAAUAAUCUUUCUCCAGGCAUAAGGUGCUCUCAAAAGUUAUGUGGUUGUCUGAAUUGUAUGUUUUCACUUCCUCCAGAUGGGAAUGAGAAUGAAUAAAAAACAGUCCGAACA